rnacentral:rRNA from 1 species
UACGAAGGGGGCUAGCGUUGCUCGGAAUCACUGGGCGUAAAGGGUGCGUAGGCGGGUCUUUAAGUCCGGGGUGAAAUCCUGGAGCUCAACUCCAGAACUGCCUUUGAUACUGAAGAUCUUGAGUGCGGGAGAGGUGAGUGGAACUGCGAGUGUAGAGGUGAAAUUCGUAGAUAUUCGCAAGAACACCAGUGGCGAAGGCGGCUCACUGGCCCGAUACUGACGCUGAGACGCGAAAGCGUGGGGAGCGAACAGG